rnacentral:lncRNA from 1 species
GAACUAUUCUUUCUAUUUGUCAGAUUUGCCUCACUAUGCCUUUUGUUUACUUAUUUCAAAAUAUUAACAAUUUUGGACAUUGGACACAGUCACAGCCUCCUAAAGCUUACAAGCCGUGAAAUGAGAAAAUUGGCAACGUUGAAGCUAGUCCGAUGGUAGUCCAUAUUUACUUUGUUUACAUUGGGAGUUUAUGCUAAUUUUGUUAAUUUUUAGUGUAUUAUUGGUGAAUUAUUUGAUUAAAAAAGAAAAAAAGAAGAGGUCCAGAUGACCAAGACAUGAAGACUCAGGGAUCCAAAACAGAAGCAGUUCAAAGGAGAGCGUGCAACAGUGGAACAUCGGUGAAGAAAUGAAAUAUAUUAAGUGAAUGUAUUAUAAAUAUUAUUAGGGCAAUAAAUGUAUUUAUUUUUA